AGUGAUUGUCUACGGUUAUGGAUAAGUCAAUGCAUCAAGCAGUGGUAUGGUCCAGACUGUAGCUGUUCACG
rnacentral:sRNA from 1 species